rnacentral:tRNA from 1 species
CGCUAAGAAGCUAAAAUGGUCUCUAGCAUUAGCCUUUUAAGCUAAAAAUUGGUGCCUACCAAACACCCUUAGCGA